rnacentral:rRNA from 1 species
AUCAGCUUUUUGAGUGUGAUUAUGUGGUUUAUGAGGAGUUUAACCGCCUUCAUGUAUUGCAUAUUUGUGCUCUUGGGCGUACUUGUCUGUGUGGUAGGUUAACAUCAAUUUCGGUCGUCAUAAAAUGAUUGGAGGAAUGUAGCUUUGGUCUCGUAUCGAAGUGUUAUAGACUCUGGUAGAUGUGACGAUUGGGAUUGAGGAUUGCAACGGAUACCCCUCGGGGCUACUCGUCUGAUCUCUGAAGGUUGCUCCGGUACCGAAAGCGUGCUUACGGUCAUCGAAAGUGAUUUUCAAAAGGUUAGAACGGGUUAAAUUCGUUAAGGAUGUUGACGUAAUGGCUUU